rnacentral:lncRNA from 1 species
AACCCCUCAGUUGUCUCUAACACCUAAACUAAAAAAAACCUAGCCGCCCCAUUUCCCCCCAUCGUCUCCAACGCCCUCCGCCGCCGGAAAUCGGCUCACGGUGGCGGAACUUCUCCCAAUAGCCCCAAAUUUUUAUUAGUUAACCACUGUCAUCUCCUCUUCCAAAUCCCUAAAUCAAUUCUCUCGAAUCACUCUCAAACGCCCCGAAUUUCAAAUAUGAGUUUCAACCUAGAAACCCUAGUUCACCUAAAUCACCUCAAAAUCAUACCCCAUAGUCCUCACACCCCUCUGCCACGACCAAUUCACCGAAAACCCCAGCCAAUCUCUCCGAAUUUCCAAUCCAAUCUCUUGUACCCAUCUCCUUUUGGUCAGAGUUUGGGCAUUUGAACCCCAAACUUCUAUUAGCUGACUGUUCUUUUUAGGAAUAGUCGGUUAAUGUCAGUUCAAUGUUCAUAUUACCUCUUUGCUUCAAAGUUUGGUCAAGGCUCACCUGUUUGGCCUUCUUUGUUACUUCUGGAAAUAAGUUUGGUAACUCCUUUUGCCUUUCUUUUCUCUUUUCCUUUUCUGAAAAUUCCUUUUCAUCUUCUUUCUUUUAUGUUUAUUAGCAUGUUUUAGGUCUUUUAUUUUAGAAUCUUUUUUUUUGCAUCCGGUGAUUAGGUUAGUUAGAAGCAUGUGAAAAUUUCAUUGAAUAAGGAUUAUUUGUAAUUGCAAAAAUUUAGCUUAAUUAAGUUUCAUCCUUAGAGUCGAUACUUGAAAUGAGUUUGCAUGUUUUUCUAUUUUUUUUAUCUUAGGUCCAGUAUUGGUUUAGGAUCAUUUUUAGCCUAUCUUUGCAGCCCUAUGUUAAUUUCGUUUGAUUACUGAUAGAUUAGUCAUUGAAAUUUAGUUUUGUUUAGGUUUAAUUUAGAUAAAUAUUUUGUCUACCAAUUAGGUUAAUUCUAGUUCAAAUUGCAUCAUGUCUUUUAUUUUAUUUCUGUUGACAUCCUUUAAUUUUCAUUUUUGGAUUUGUUGAUAGACUUUUGUUCUUGUUUGCCCUAAUCUGUAAAUCAUUAAGACUUAUAGGGACCUAAUUGAAUUAAAGAAACUUAGGAUAAGUUUUCAGAAAAUAUCUAAGGAAAAUAACUUUCUAGAAAGGGUACAGUUGUCUUAGUUAUUGUAAAAAGAUGAUGAAAUAUAGGAUAAAAAAGGACAGUUGUACCAGGGUUGUAAAAAGAGACAGUACUAUAUUUUGCUAUAGGAUAAGAAAUAUUCCAAAAGAAUACCUAUCCUAGGCAACUUAUAUAUAGAUACUAUUCCUCAAAAACAAGGUAGAACUGGAAAUCCUAAGAAAUACACUCUAAAAAGUUCAAAUGUCUUAUUUUCCUUUGAUUUUAGCAAAAAUGGAAGAACUUCUUUGAAGAUUUCUUGUUUUCAUCAGUCAAAAAAUGGUUUUGAAGCUGAAAAUUCUUCUUUUGGGAUCUAUUUGAUUGCUAAAGCUUUUUGGUUCUUUUCUCCUUGACCUUUAUUUGGUCAUUUCUCUGUUUGUGUUUUCAAUUCCAAGAUAUGUAACUAUGUCCAUCAUAAAUAGAAUUAACUUUGAGUUUAAAAUUUGUGUUUGAAACUUGUUUUUUCGUUUGGCUAAACUUUGUUGUUAGUUUUGGAAUCCUUAACUUUGUGAAUUUAGGGUUGAUUAAAGUUUAUAAACCCUGUGUUGAUAUUACCUUAAAUGGCUGCUACAUUUGAUCAUGAAAUCAGAAAUAUUGUGUUGUGUAUGUCAAUGUUUGAUUGCUGAAUUAGUUUGUCUAUAUACUAUAAAACUAUGUUCAAAAUUCCCCUUUUCACAGCAACAUUAAAGGAAAUGAAUCUCACCCUUUAAUGGUCAGACUUACUCCUUAAUAGUUUAUAGAUUCUUAACUCAUCUUGAAUAUGACUAAGUUUAUUUCCCUUUCCCUUCCUUUCUUCUUUGCUAAGAUGAGCACUUAGAGUAGGAUCAUGGGUUGGAAGUUUUUGUUUGUUUGUGAGGCUGACCUUAAACAUGGUCAGACUCAUGAACAACAUCGCUUUUCCUUUUACUCAUUCUUGCAUUGUUAUUUAUGAUUGAUAAUACUGUAUGUCCAUACAUUUGAAGACAUUUUUGUGAGCCUAACCUUUUCACAUGGUUAGAUCCAUGAAAGUCUAUGCUGAAACCAAAGCAUUUUGAGUAGUAAGAAGCUUCAGAGUUGGAAUUAAAUGCUAGCCUGCAAGAAAUAACUCUAUAGCUGAUUUCUUGUAAGUUGAAGUUGUCUUUUUGAAAGAUUUUGUAAUAGUUGGGAGGCUUCAAAUUAGGAAGAAAGUUGGCUCUUUGCCUUAACCUUUUUCUAGACAUAUAAUUGUAUUCAAGAAAAUUAUGUAUAUUCAUGGACUUUGAGUAGUGGAAAUAGACUGUUAUAAUGAUUUUUAAAUUCAGUUUUCGUUUAAUUUAUAUAUUGGGUCAUAACAGUUGGACCUUUUUCUUUUUGUAAUGGACAUUAUUAUUGUAUUGUGUAAUGGUUUGGGACAUAGCAUGAAUUGGGUCAGACUCGCAACGAGGCCUGACAUUGGGACUCAUUUGAGCAAGUCUGGGACCAGGUAACUGGGCAUGGGCG